GCCCUGGUAGUAUAGCCCGGCCUAGUAUAGGCGGCUGUCGCCCGCCUGACCCGGGUUCAAAUCCCGGCCAGGGCGCCA
rnacentral:tRNA from 1 species